GAUGAACGCUAGCGGCAGGCUUAACACAUGCAAGUCGAGGGGCAGCACGGGUAGCAAUACCUGGUGGCGACCGGCGCAAGGGUGCGUAACGCGUGAGCAACAUGCCCUAUACAGGGGGAUAAUCCAGGGAAACUUGGUCUAAUAUCCCAUAGUAUUUAGAGGAGGCAUCUUCUAUAAAUUAAAGCUUCGGUGGUAUAGGAUUGGCUCGCGUGACAUUAGCUAGAUGGUGAGGUAACGGCUCACCAUGGCAAUGAUGUCUAGGGGUUCUGAGAGGAAGGCCCCCCACACUGGGACUGAGACACGGCCCAGACUCCUACGGGAGGCAGCAGUGAGGAAUAUUGGACAAUGGAUGGAAAUCUGAUCCAGCCAUGCCGCGUGCAGGAAGACAGCCCUAUGGGUUGUAAACUGCUUUUCCAGGGGGAGAAACUUGCGCACGUGUUGCGCAAUUGACGGUACCCUGGGAAUAAGCAUCGGCUAACUCCG
rnacentral:rRNA from 1 species